ensembl:lncRNA
AGUUAUGUGACUUUAUGUAACGGCUGCAGGUCGUCUGAACAGAGGAAGACGCUUCACCACUAUGUGAAGAAGAUGAUGACGACGGUGGAGACGAAGAGGGAGAAGAGUGUAGAGAGUGUAGAGAGUGUAGAGAGUGUAGAGAGUAGAGAGUGUAGAGAGAGUGUAGAGAGAGUGUAGAGAGAGUGUAGAGUGUGUAGAGAGAGUGUAGAGAGAGUAGAGAGUGUAGAGAGAGUGUAGAGAGAGUAGAGAGGUGGAAACAGAAAAAACAAAUGUGGAGGAGAGAGAGCGUAAAAUAUUCAUUGCUAUCUGCUCUGUGGCUAUUUCUGCUGCUACACUACUGCAUACAACGCAGCGUGUGUGUGUGUGCGUGUGGGUAUGUGUGGUGUGUGUGUGUGUGUGUGUGUGUAGCUGUUCCCUAUUUGUCUGAUUGCGUUUCCCUUCGCUGCGUCGCUCUUUUCUCUCUUUCUGUCUCUGCUGAGUUUCUUUUUUUCACUUUGUGCACACAAAUUAGGCGUGUGUGUGUGUGUUUGUUUGUCUGUUUAGCGUCAUGCUAAUUUGUACAUGUGUGUGUUUGCGAUGGAAGGAGGCAGUUUGCUUUUCGAGGGCUUCAUCUUGAUCCUGAAGGUCCAAUUUGAUACUAGAAGGUUUGUUUGUAUGCAGAAUGCAGCAACGUGAUUGUGUGAGUGCUGAG